GGAGGGGUGGCUGAGCGGACGAAAGCGGCGGUCUUGAAAACCGCUGUCCCUUCGGGGACCGGGGGUUCGAAUCCCUCCCCCUCCGCCA
rnacentral:tRNA from 1 species